AAAGAAUUCAACAUAAAAGAUUCAUCUUGUAUAGCCUUAGCAGCUAAGAGGUGGGCUGCCCUAUUCCUAUCUCUUUUAACAAAGGAGAAGAGAGAAGAUGAAAACUCUUGAGCUAGGAAUAAAACAUCAUGAAUAAUUUCUUGAAUCUUUUGAGGAACAGAGGCACCCAUGAGACUGUUUAUCACUAUCUGGGAGAUGGUUCCCAUAUGCUUCUGAGAUCUUGUUGCAGCAUCAAAGUUGAUCUUAAAUGCACCAUGGCAAGGGGCAGACAAGAAUUGUCCAACUGCGUCAACAGAUACAGAGUGGAGAGGAGGUUCUUGGGCUAUGAAGAAUUCGUCAUGAUGAUAUGAAGCUGCUGUUAAUAGUUGUUGAAACUUCAAUGGCUGGUCAUUAAAAACUCGUCGGUUUCUAUUCUUCCAAAGUUGCCAUAGGAUAAAAACAAGAAGAGGUAUUAGCUUGUUAGCUUGAGGGUGGUUGUGAAGGGGU
rnacentral:misc_RNA from 1 species